GGUGUGGUAGGCAUUCCUUACUGAACCCGCAAGCAAGCAUAUCUCAGCAAUGAAGAAAAACACCCUGGUACGGACAAUUUAGGAUGUUCAGAAAAAGAUAACAUAGGUUCCAUAAGAUACAUUGCAAGAAAUAGACCAGCUAACUUUAGCUUGCUCGAAUAUAACAUGGUAAUGGAUAAAGGUUAGCAGCAUCUAUGUUCAAUGAUGGAUAGGUUUAUAGUUCAGCUUUGGAUUGGCAUCACCUACCAGCAGGUUAUAUACAGGAUAACUGCCCAAGCCCUAGAACCUCCAGGACUCAAAGGCUUGCCACAGCAGAAGCAUUUACUGGCAAACAUAAUAAGGACUUGGCUAGCCAUGAGGAACAAAAAAGCGCCAACACCAAGGCCAGUUGCAAUGUCUGAAUCAUAGAUGCAGUAACUGUAAUCUUUUUCA
rnacentral:lncRNA from 1 species